GCUUGCUGGGGGGAUUAGUGGCGAACGGGUGAGUAACACGUGAGUAACCUGCCCUUGACUCUGGGAUAAGCCUGGGAAACUGGGUCUAAUACCGGAUAUGACUCCUCAUCGCAUGGUGGGGGGUGGAAAGCUUUUGUGGUUUUGGAUGGACUCGCGGCCUAUCAGCUUGUUGGUGGGGUAAUGGCCUACCAAGGCGACGACGGGUAGCCGGCCUGAGAGGGUGACCGGCCACACUGGGACUGAGACACGGCCCAGACUCCUACGGGAGGCAGCAGUGGGGAAUAUUGCACAAUGGGCGGAAGCCUGAUGCAGCGACGCCGCGUGAGGGAUGACGGCCUUCGGGUUGUAAACCUCUUUCAGUAGGGAAGAAGCCGCAAGGUGACGGUACCUGCAGAAGAAGCGCCGGCUAACUACGUGCCAGCAGCCGCGGUAAUACGUAGGGCGCAAGCGUUAUCCGGAAUUAUUGGGCGUAAAGAGCUCGUAGGCGGUUUGUCGCGUCUGCUGUGAAAGACCGGGGCUCAACUCCGGUUCUGCAGUGGGUACGGGCAGACUA
rnacentral:rRNA from 1 species